rnacentral:rRNA from 1 species
CAGUCGCCGCGGGAAUACGAAGGGUGCAAGCGUUAAUCGGAAUUACUGGGCGUAAAGCGUGCGUAGGCGGUUUGUUAAGUCUGCUGUGAAAUCCCCGGGCUCAACCUGGGAAUGGCAGUGGAUACUGGCAAGCUAGAGUGUGUCAGAGGAUGGUGGAAUUCCCGGUGUAGCGGUGAAAUGCGUAGAGAUCGGGAGGAACAUCAGUGGCGAAGGCGGCCAUCUGGGACAACACUGACGCUGAGGCACGAAAGCGUGGGGAGCAAACAGGAUUAGAUACCCCGUAGUCCCUGUCUCUUAUACA